GGGAAUGUAGCUUAGUGGUAAGGCACUUGCCUAGCAUGCAUGAAGCCCUGGGUUUGAUUCCUCAGUACCG
rnacentral:tRNA from 1 species